rnacentral:lncRNA from 1 species
UAUACACUUUAUAUUAUAGCAUAGCUUCUUUGUUAUAUUAUAUAGGUUAUGCAAACAAAUAGUUGGUCAAACCCUAACAGCAUGUUACACAGUAAUAAUGACAACUUCCGGAGGACGUCCUCCAACCCAUCAGAGCUCUUGCACUCAAUGAACUGACAUGUCCACCCAAUCAAAGGAUCAGAAAAUGUAUCUAGCACUGCAGUGCAAAACAUGUGUGUCCAAAUUAGCGGAGCGGCUUGACCUAAGGGAGACAUUUUGGGAUGAGUUACAGAGACCCAGUUCUGAAGGAUAUGGUGGAAUGACAGCUGACCACAGAGAAUUACACCUCAACCUCAGAGGAGUGAACAUAUAACAGAAAAGCUCCCUCGGACAGUUUCUGACCUGACCACCGUCAUGUACCUGAAAGACGCAGAGCUUCAAUACUGCCACUCACAAUGGCGUCGUUUCACCCGUUGACUCAACAAGCAUCUCCGUAGAGCGAUGCUGCGACCAGGUGAGCAGACCAACUCCUGGAUGACUGGAGACACACAAACAACAGACACAGAACACACAGCAGUGGCAGGCACUCGCUUGCGUCCCAACUAAUAUCAAGGUCUGCUUUGGCCAGAGGAGGAUGGUGCACAAUGCCCAGGGUGGACCUUGACACAUUUUCCCAAAAGCUUCCUGUACUAAAACACACCUUGAAUGUGGCUCAAAUGUUUAUUUUUUAUUUUUUUACAUUUUAUCUAUUGAAAGAUAUUGAUUUUAAUCAAUGUAGGUAUGGGUAAAGCUAAUUAUAAACCAAACUGUAAUACUGUUGUAAAUUUUAGAUACUGUAUGUGCAGGCUUAUUUAAGUGAGUACCUAAGACCUAACUCAAUGUUUUAAUAUUAACUGUUUUAAAAUACU